AUUUUCCUGCAAUAAUGGUUUUCUAAGGAAACAACAUGACAAAUACUACUCCCUCUGUUUGGAAUUACUUGUCUCAAAAAUGGAUGUAUCUAAAACUAAAAUACGUCUUAAUACGUCCAUUUUCGAGACAAGUAAUUCCGAAUGGAGGGAGUAGAAAGAAAGGGAUGCCAAGUAACAGUCUCAAACUGACCUCAAUGACUCCCCUUGGCAACUUGGCAGGGAAAUCCUUGCUCUUCUGGAAGCCAGCAUUCAACUCAUACUCCUUGUACUUACUAUCCAACUGAGUACAGGCAAAUUAGUUACCGAUUUGAUAUGCAACCAAAGGGAAAAACGAGUAAUGACAUGUAAAAGGAAACUAGGAUACUUAAUCACCUCAUUCCUAAGAUCUUUCAGGAGUCUGGUUUGCCCAAACGGACAUGAGUUCUUGCCACUGUAGAAGAGGGACGCGCUGAUUUAUAGGUUAGCAGAAGGUGGCGAGGGGUCAAAGCAACAACUGAAGACAAUUUCUGUCGUCGGGCUAGGCGGACUGGGCAAGACAACCCUUGUAAGAGCAGUGUAUGAGAAGAUCAAAACUCAGUUUGAUUGCUGGGCUUUUGUUUCAGUGUCUCGAACUCCCGACAUGAAGAAAAUUUUCAAGGACAUGCUCUAUGGACUUGACGAGCACCCUGCUGAUAUUUCGAUUAUUAUUUGGUUUCCUUGUUUCCUUCCAAACUUAGUUGUAUCUUGAUUGACUUACCCACUAACGCUUCACAAAAUUGAUACAGGUACCUCAUCGUAGUUGAUGACAUAUGGGAUGAGAAAAUAUGGGAUAUUAUCAAGUGUGCUUUAUCUAGCAACAAUCUUGGUAGUCGAAUAAUCACAACAACUCGCAGCAUCAAUGUCUCUGAAGCAUGCUGCUCUUCUGGUGUUGACAUAAUUCAUAGAAUGAAACCUCUUUCCGAUAGAAACUCCCAGAGGCUCUUCUAUAGAAGAAUAUUUCAGAAUGAGCAUGGAUGUCCCGUUGAGUUGGAAGAAGUGUCCAUAGAUAUCUUGAGGAAAUGUGGCGGGGUACCAUUAGCCGUUAUUGCUAUCGCUAGUCUACUGGCUAGUAAUCAACAGAUGAAGUCAAAGGAUCAAUGGUGCAAUUUGCUCGAAUCUAUUGGGCAUGGACUUAUUGGAGGUGAUGUUGUGGAGGACAUGAAGAAGAUAUUAUCAUUUAGCUAUUAUGAUAUGCCUCCCCAUCUAAAGAGUUGUUUCUUAUAUUUAAGUAUAUUUCCAGAAGACUGCGAGAUUGAGAUAGAGAGAUUGAUUUGGAGGUGGAUAGCUGAAGGUCUUAUCCAUCAUGAAGAACAAGGGAAGAGUUUAUUUGAGGUUGGCGAGAGUUAUGUCAAUGAGCUAAUAAAUAGAAGUAUGAUCAUGCCAGUAGAGAUUGAUUGUGACAAGCUGCAAUCGGAGGGUGCAUGAAUUAAUGAUCAAGUGGUUGUCUAUGAUUCAAAAUAUAUUGUAAUGUGGGUGGUGAUCCCCAUAGCAAUACUCAAGUUAAAUAAAGUACACCAAAUGGCAUUCCCUUCCAAAAAAGAUGGCCAUGUUGUCCCUACAGAGGAUCAGAGCAAUUCUUUGUUGUGGAGAUGAAACACAUACAGGAAAGACGAAAUUGUCAAACCAGAAACUAACAUAGAAAACCAGUUUGAUAGUA